rnacentral:rRNA from 1 species
UGGCGGCGUGCCUAAUACAUGCAAGUCGAACGCUUCUUUUUCCACCGGAGCUUGCUCCACCGGAAAAAGAGGAGUGGCGAACGGGUGAGUAACACGUGGGUAACCUGCCCAUCAGAAGGGGAUAACACUUGGAAACAGGUGCUAAUACCGUAUAACAAUCGAAACCGCAUGGUUUUGAUUUGAAAGGCGCUUUCGGGUGUCGCUGAUGGAUGGACCCGCGGUGCAUUAGCUAGUUGGUGAGGUAACGGCUCACCAAGGCCACGAUGCAUAGCCGACCUGAGAGGGUGAUCGGCCACAUUGGGACUGAGACACGGCCCAAACUCCUACGGGAGGCAGCAGUAGGGAAUCUUCGGCAAUGGACGAAAGUCUGACCGAGCAACGCCGCGUGAGUGAAGAAGGUUUUCGGAUCGUAAAACUCUGUUGUUAGAGAAGAACAAGGAUGAGAGUAACUGUUCAUCCCUUGACGGUAUCUAACCAGAAAGCCACGGCUAACUACGUGCCAGCAGCCGCGGUAAUACGUAGGUGGCAAGCGUUGUCCGGAUUUAUUGGGCGUAAAGCGAGCGCAGGCGGUUUCUUAAGUCUGAUGUGAAAGCCCCCGGCUCAACCGGGGAGGGUCAUUGGAAACUGGGAGACUUGAGUGCAGAAGAGGAGAGUGGAAUUCCAUGUGUAGCGGUGAAAUGCGUAGAUAUAUGGAGGAACACCAGUGGCGAAGGCGGCUCUCUGGUCUGUAACUGACGCUGAGGCUCGAAAGCGUGGGGAGCAAACAGGAUUAGAUACCCUGGUAGUCCACGCCGUAAACGAUGAGUGCUAAGUGUUGGAGGGUUUCCGCCCUUCAGUGCUGCAGCUAACGCAUUAAGCACUCCGCCUGGGGAGUACGACCGCAAGGUUGAAACUCAAAGGAAUUGAC